rnacentral:lncRNA from 1 species
UCCCUUCCUCCCUUCCUCCCUUCCUCCCUUCCUCCCUUCCUCCCUUCCUCCCUUCCUCCCUUCCUCCCUUCCUUCCUUCCUCCCCCCCCUCCCUUCCUCCCUUCCUUCCUUCCUUCCUUCCUCCCUUCCUCCCUUCCUCCCUUCCUUCCUUCCUCCCCCCCCUCCCUUCCUCCCUUCCUCCCCCCUCACCCCCUCUCUCCCUGCCUUCCCUCUUUCCUUCCCUCCUCCCUUCCUUCCUCUCUUCCUCUUCCAUCCUUCCUCCCUCCCUCUCUUCUUUCCUCCCUUCCUUCAUUCUUCCCUCCCCUUCUUCCAUUUGUUUUAGUUCCUUCCAUUCAGAGAGCAUUGUCUUAUGACAUUACAGAGGACUUUUGCUUCUUCCUGGGAAACUGAGUUCCACAUUUGCAAGGAGGGGGCUGUGGGCAGCAGAAAGGGAAUACUUUUCAUUUGCUCCUACUGAAACUGUCUUAUGAAUCCCAAAAGUUUUAAGCUAGAUGUCAAUCAAAAGGCAGCAGCUUUAUGCCACUUACAUGCCUUCUGAAAGAGAUCUAUGUUUCUUAUAGUGGGGAAACAAACAAACAAACAACUGCCUGAAAUAGAUUUGGGAAUUUUGAAAUGCUGAAUUUAAUAUGUGAAGUCUGUACUGUUUGUUAGCAUUCAGAAUAAAGCGGUCUGAAAUGUCCUGCUGUCACAGCACAAAAUCAAGAGCACCUCUUCAUCUUCCCUCGGGCCAACAAAAGGGGACAGGAUUUUCAGUGAAACCCAGAUGUUGCUGUGAGUAAAUGUGUGCAUUUAUUAACAGAUAAUAGUGGAGGACUGCAAUUUAUAUCUGCAGAAGCUGAAAUAAUUAAGGAGGGUUGGGUAUUAAUGGAUGUAUGUUUUGAACAAUCUCAAAAACUUCUUUGUGUGGAAAAUUAAGAUCCUUGCUGAUAUUGAAAUAUCUCAGAUUGUUGUAAACCCAUGUUUCUAAUAUUUUAACUGGGAAUCACUUUCAUGGUCCGGCACUGCUGAUGCUGCCCCUUCAGAAGCCAGAAAAUGUCAGAUAUCUCAGUAUUUUCAGGAUUGUUUUGUUCCCAUUCAGGCUGACAGACAAAAAGGAGGGUUCUGAGGGAAGCUCUUAUUUCCUCCCUUCCCAUCUCCCUUUGCUCUUGCAAUAGCACCAUUGUACAGCACCGUUAUGCCAAAUUUUUUACAUAGAGACAGACUCGCCUGUCCCACAUUGUCAUUUCGACACUGUUUUUAACAAAGAUGUAUUUUCUGAGGAUCAUGUUUGAGAAUAAAUGGCUUUGGGUCUAGCACUAGUAAAAGAAGAAAAGCAAAUCCAAAGAACCCACUCAUUGAGUUCAGAGUAGCUACAGGGCAAUGCUGCAUCUUGCUUUUUAGGUGAAAUCUGCAAUUUUGUUUAUCCAGAGCAAUCUGUAACAGCUCUAUGGUAAAGCUGCUUUGAGGUUUAGUUUUGAAGUUUACUGCUCCCAGUUUUCAUUUAUUCCAUCAUAAUACAUGCAUAAAACAUUUUUAUUAUGUGGAUAGUAAUUUGCAUGAGCACGAGGACUUUAGCUCAAAUGCUCAUGAACAAGACUGUUCUUCAGUCGGGUCAACUGGAAGUUAUUCUGCUUUACUACAGGGCUUUCAGUUAAUUAAAUUCAAAGAACCUGUUCAACUGCUAAGGCCUGUUAUACUCCAGAUAAGGAAAAAAAUACAUUUUUUCAUCAGUCUCUGGGGACAGACACUGCUGAUGCUCCUCCUGCUGUAGCCACAAUACAGUGGGCCACAAUACAAGUGAAAAGGAGGAAGAAUGUCCUGCCCAAAGUAUUUCAGUGGGACAUACACGUCUGUGAUGAACACAGAAAGGACUAUUCAGAUGCAUUGUGUUAUAUGGAAUGAACUACAUUUCUGAUCUUCUAAUGCAAUUAAUAUUGUGCUCUGCAAGUAAUGUAAUUAACACAGGAAAAGAGGAGUGAACUGCAUUUACAGUAGAAGUGAACUUUACCUAAAAUUAUCAUUUCAGAAAAUUGACUGUUCUUCUAACUGUUGGUAAUUAUUUUUUCCUUUUUUUUCUUGAGUUCCUCUUUAUUUGGAUAGGUAAUAAAAUUAGUUUUGAUCCUGCACACUGAAGGAGAAACCCUAGUGGCCACAUUCUGACUCUACUUGAACUAGUGUAGGAGCUCAUACGGAAAAUUAAGUGAAAAUCAAUUAACAGUUGCCCCGGGCAUUUGAAACAAAUGCCAGGAAUCCCUAAAUGUUUCUCAGUUCUGUAUAAAUCAUAGCUGACAAGUGGUGGUAUCUCUGCUUCCACUGAAAAUUUGCUUUGUUACAGUGAAAAUUCUUUUAUUAUAUAUAGUUGCUGAUGUACAUAUAUAUAUGUAUUAACCGUCUACAUUUUCUCAUGUGCAUCUUCCAUAAAUCUCCUUUUGAGUCUCUUCCAAAGAAACUAACCUAUGCUUUUGAAGAAAAGAUGACUACCUGGUUGAAGAAAAGGAGUAAUGGAGAACACAUUCUUCAAGAUAUUGGAUAGUAUUCACUGCACCAUCAGGAGAUAUCUUUGUUUGGUACAAAGUGCUAAAGCCUUAAAAGACUAAAGCCGAACAAUAAUGAAUAGAACUGAUUUCCCAUCUUUGGAUUCUAGAGUGCUGACAUGGGAGUUUGAAGACGGUGGAAGGAAUCUAUGGACUGUAUUUACUGAUGUAAUUCAAUAAUUAAAGAUAAUUGUACAAUUUCUCUUAAGCUUGUUGAAAUUCAAGUUUUCUUUUGCUUUAGGCACGACCCAAAAAAUGUAAUAAUAUUUACCAUACUACCUAAUUUAUGUAUGUCUUUAAAUAGUUUACAAAGUGAAUUGAUAAUACAAAAAGUACCCAAAAUCAGAGAGAGAAUUUGUACAGAUUUAUACAAAUCCACGAACUUGAAAAGCCUGCCUUUGUCUCAGAACUUCUAUCUUUGUUUCAAAGAGAGAAACUGGUACAUUACGUAGAUAGGAGAAAAGGAACUGAAGGGUAUAGAUAAAGGAGAAAUGAGCUUAAAGCCUAAGGAAGAGGAAAAAAAUAUAUAAUACAAUCGGAGUGAUCAGAGAUAAAGAACAAGAAAAAAUCAUCAAGAGAUUUUUCUUGAAAGAGGAGGUAGAAUGGAGAUGUAUUUUGUAGGCUACUCUGUUGGAUUAAAGAAGGCCUGAAAUGAAAAGGUAUGUGCAACAAAGGCGUGAGGCAGAUGGAAGGCUUCUCUUCUUAUUUCCUAAGGCUGAGGGCUUCCAGUCCUUUUUGCAUUUGGCUAAUUGCAAAGUCUGCAAUCUCAAAGGGUCACAAUCAUUUUCAGCUUUUGCUGGUGAGAGACACAAAGCAGACAACACUGCACGUUGCUCCUGCUAUAAUAAGAUGUCAUUUCAUCAGGAGGAGUAGACAAAAGGAUAGAUUUUCCUCUUUCCUCUUUUCCUCUGUUUUGCUUUGGGAUAUAACAUUCAGUUUCUCUCUCCAGUUUCCUACAACAUCACAAGGCCAGUUUUUGCUUUGAACUUCAGUAAUAUCAAGUACCUUCCAUGUAAAUGGUGCUUGAGAUAUAAGCGUAUUGCAUGGCCUCUGAGAAACCAAGACCACAUGGAAACUGUUCCCCCCCAAUUUCUGCCAAUAACAUCAGAUUUUGCAUUGCUUCCCCAACAAGAACUGCCCUGUAUCAGAGGCUAGCUUUGUGCAGGGGCUGAUGGUUCUGUAUAGUUUGUGUUUGUGAGCCAUCAAAGGCUUUGAGUGGGAGAGAGGAAACGAUGAAGGAAACCUGGAAUCUGUGCCCAUACUGUUGCAACCUUUCUGAGUUUACUUUAAGAAUCUUUAUCCAGCUCUUCAUCUUUUCACUUUGAUCACUGUAACAUCUCUUCACCUUGGUUUCUAGCUUUUUCCUUUCCCCACACCAUCAAUCUGCACAGAUGCUGCUUUUUCCAGUCAGAGCCUCUUUUGGCAUUUUUGCACUUUACCUCCAUCUUAUUUCUGAACUUCUGUUUCUCUUGUUGUCCCUCGGUGACUGUGUUUUUGCAUGCUGUAGAGAUACUCAAUGCUUUUUUUUUCUGUGCCAUGUCCUCAUUCUAUUCUAUGACCUCUUUUGUGCUGCCUGUACUCCAGGAGUGCUGAGACAAACAGGCUGGGACAGAACACAUCUCUGUGCUCUUCCUGGGAGCACAUUUUAUUCCAGAAAAUUUGUUCUGCUGGUCUCACCUAUAUUUCUUCAAUUGUUUAAUAUUAAGCACUUAUCCAGCAGCGUGAAUUACAAUUAUCAUGAAUUAUACAACAUGGCAGUUUCUGCCCUGCUUUGCUCUCAUUUACAUAACUGCUAGACUGUAAUCACAUUUUGUCUUCCAGACAGAAAUCUUCCAGACUUCUCCCAGGUUUAAUUGGAGGUGCUUUGUAAACCUUUGAUGGUUAAGGACACCAGAUUUUGGAGUGAAAUGCUGGUAUCCCAGAAGCUUGAAAGCACAAAAGAAACAGCUUGUGGAAAAUCUGUGAAGUCCAUCUAUUUCUACAAUAGGAUUAUUCAUCACCACAUGUUUUCCCCAUCUGGAAGUAAAGGGACAAAAUGCUGAAACCACCACCGUCUCACUUGCAAAUUGCUCCACAGUCUAACCAGUCAUGCUAUUGAGAAGAUAUGCCUGCAGUUCAACCCAAAUUGUCUGUAAUCAUGUUGCUUCCUUUCCCUUGUUAUCCUGAGUAGUUCCUCCCCACCCAUAUGUUUAACCUCUCUGAAAUAUUUGUGGAUGGCAAUCAGAUCCCUCUGAGUCACUGCUUAGCUAAGCUGUAUGCAUUUUCAGCAUCCUUCUUUUCUUGUGUAAAUCUUCUCAGAUAUUUAACCAUUUUUCUCCACUUUCCUGUGAAAUCCUCAGCAUUCACUGAAGACGUUAGAAUGAUUACCCCUGGCUGAACAUGGGAACGGAACAUGAGCCUUACACAGAUGGUCCCCUUAGUGGCCUGGGUUCAAGUGCAGUGGGUUGAGGUGCUCAAACACUCCUUUACCACGCUUGGAACUCCUGCUCUAUAAAUCAGGGCUAUACAGUCUGGGGAGUACUGGAACUGUACAGUUGGGGGAAAGUCCCAGCUUUGCUCCACCUGGACUGUGACCACAAUGGAAAAUUUUCUGGUUAAAGUCAAUUAUUUUGCUGCCGAAAGGUAAGGCUUCUACAGCGGCCUGUGUGUGGCUGGGGCUAUGCUACGAACAGUUCUUAGCUACAAAGAGAGGUAAAGUUCUCACUCUGUACAGCCAUGUCCACACUCUUACUAGCUGCAGCAUAGUCCAACUUAAUCACAUGGAGCAGUGCAAACAGUGUGAAGGAAUACCAUCUUCCAGAUUUCAGAGGUAAAACCAAUGCUUAGAUUAUUGGAUUGACCAAGCAUGAUAAUUAGACACACGGAGUUUUCUAAUUUUCCACUUAUUUACCACUGCAAUUUGGAAAAACAGUUGGGAAAUGUGAAACAUUCCAUGGGAUGGGAUGUUUGUAGUAUCUUUCCUCAGAAGAACGUGUGUAACAUGGUGUGUUUUAAUAAAUACUGCAGUCAGGGAACUGACUCUUGGCCAAAGCAGGAGCCUGGGAAGACAGAAAUAUUUGCAGCUGGUCAGUGCUUUCCACCUCUCCCUUCCCACUGAGGCCAGCGACCAAAAAGCCAUCCAUCCUGAGUGCUAAGGCGUGCUGGCCUCCCUGCCUACUUUCUAUCAACAGUUUUGACAGGUCCUCACUGAUUGUUGUUAUGAAAUCAAAUCUAUAUUUACAGCCAGAAAAUGCCUGUCAAAAUAUAUCUUUAACAACCUGAAAUUUAAUUCUUCAGCCGUCUCUAUAGUAGGCAUGUCCAUUACAGGAAAUCUUUCCUUCCUCUUUCCAUUAAAAUAUUUUCAAUUUGGCAUGCCAAAAAAGCUGUAUCUCAAAGAGGAAAAAAAAAAUAGUCUUUAGUAGAGCAAGAAGAUUUACAAAAUCAUUUAUUACCUUUGGUUUCCAAACUAAUCUUAGAAUGAGAGAGAGUAGUGCUAAAAUGCCUAAGCAAAGUGGGGAGAUCAUAGGACCACAUAACCUACUCAGGCUUAAAUAAUAGUAGCAGUAAUAAUAGUAGUAAUAAUAAUAGUAGCAAUAAUAAUAAUAGUAAUAAUAAUAAUAAUGGUAAUAAAAUAGAUGAGCUAAGUGAUUUGAUAUCUGAGCUUAUUAUGUGACAAGUGAUUGAAACUACAUAAGAGGAAAAGGACUGUAUGAAAAAUUAAAACUGGCAACACUGGUAAGACUGUGUGUCAGGAGAAGUAAUUGCAGGAAACUUCUGCAGUGCACAUUAAGACCACCCAGCUCCUCUGUGCUGGCAAGGUAGCAGAAUCUGAUAAGCUACUUGAAGAACACAUUACUGAAAAUCAGCAUGUCUAUUUAAUUGGCCUACAUUUCAUAGAGUUCAUAGCUCUCAUAAGAAGAGCUAAUGUCUCUCGUGUUUCUGCUUUGUUUAUAUCAGGAACUGCAGCCAAGUUCUUGCUUCUAGCUUUGCUUAGAGUUUCUCAUGGAUCUGGGGAGAGUGUCCUGCCAGUGACAGAUUGAGACUGAGUGUAAUUGGGGAUGCAGGAAGGUGAGGGAAAGAGGGCAAUAUCCCAGGGUCAUGGGAUCAAUGCUUGUAAAUGGGAAGAGGGGAAGUCAUAGAAUCAUUGAAUCAUAGAAUCGCUAAGGUUGGAAAAGACCCACAGGAUCAUCCAGUCCAACCAUUCACCCAUCACCAAUGGUUCUCGCUAAACCAUGUCCCUCAACACAACAUCCAAACGCUCUUUGAAUACCACCAGGCUCGGUGACUCCACCACCUCUCUGGGCAGCCCAUUCCAGUGCCUGACCACCCUUUCAGAGAAGUAGUAUUUCCUAACGUCCAGCCUGAACCUUCCCUGGCGCAGCUUGAAGCCAUUCCCUCUAGUGCUACCACUAGUCACCCGAGAGAAGAGGCUGACCCCCAGCUCACCACAACCUCCCUUCAGGUAGUUAUAGAGAGCAAUAAGGUCUCCCCUGAACCUCCUCUUCUCUAGACUGAACAAUCCCAGCUCCUUCAGCCGCUCUUCAUAAGGCCUGUGCUCCAGACCCCUCACCAGCUUUGUUGCCCUCCUCUGGACACGCUCGAGGGCCUCGAUGUCUCUCUUACAGUGAGGGACCCAAAACUGGACACAGUACUCGAGGUGUGGCCUCACCAGUGCUGAGUACAGGGGGAUAAUUACUUCCCUGUUCCUGCUGGCCACACUAUUUUUGAUACAAGCCAGGAUGCCAUUGGCCUUCUUGGCCACCUGGGCACACUGCUGGCUCAUGUUCAGUCUAGCGUCAAUCAACAUCCGUAGGUCCAUUUCCUCUACACAGUCUUCCAGCCACUCUGCCCCAAGCCUGUAGCGUUGCCUGGGGUUAUUGUGGCCAAAGUGCAGGACCCGGCAUUUGUUCUUGUUGAAUCCCAUCCCAUUGGCUUCAGCCCAGCUAUCCAGCCUAUGCCCAGCUAUCCAGCCUAGACAGGCUCCUGUCUAUUUCCUUUAUCAUGAUUCAAUAGAAUGAAUAUUUUUCUUUGGUGGUACAUAAUGAACACUAAAUUAAUGAACUACAUUGUAGCUGCAGCAUUUUAUUUAUUUAUGUACAGGUUAGUUUUCAUAUCUCUUUCCCUAUAUACCUUCCAAUAGAGUCAUAGCAUCAUUUAGGUUGGAUAAGACUCUUAAGAUCAUCAAGUCCAACCACCAACCUAUCACUACUGACUGAACCACUGAACCAUAUCCCUAAGCACCACAUCCAUGUAUCUUACAUACCUCCGGGGAUGAGGAUUCCACCAUUUCCCUGAGCAACCUAUUCUGUGCCUGAAAAAUUAUUCCUGAUUUCCAGCCUAAAUCUCCUUUGGCACAACGUGAAGCUCUCUCUUCACGUCAUCUCACUUGUCACUUGAAAAAACAGGGUAACACCUUACUCCUUUCAUUUAACUGUAGAGAGUGAUGAGGUCUCCCCUCAGCCUCCUUUUCUCCAUACUAAAUAGCUCCAGUUUUCGCAUGCACACCUGGUAACUCUUAUUUUCUUGUUCUUUCACCAGCUCUGUUGCUGUGUUUUGCACAUGUUCAACAAACUCAGCUUCCUUCUUGCGGUGAGGAGUACUCAAGAUGUGGUCUUAUCAGUGUCAAGCAUUGAGGGACAAGCAGAACAAUUCAAAGGCUAUGACUAUCCUUGAGACCUUGUAGCACCUGCACCUACAGAAACUGUCCACAGAGGCCUUACCGGACCAUGUUUUAUUGUCAUUGUUUCUGGGCAAAGGUUUUAUAAUGCAGCAGUGGAGUCCAUCUUGCUGAAGCAAUGGAGACAGAUAGUGAUGGAGCUGCCAGAACAACCUGUAAAUUAUCUGCCCUAAAAUCCUCAAAGAGCACUUUGUGCUGAAAAGAAGGCUGUUCAAGGCAGGAGGGGAAGAAUUUGAUCUUGCCUACAUUUGUUGUACAGGAACAGAAAGGAGGAGUGCUUUAUUCAUCAAGUGAACACAGCACUUUAAAAAUUCAACUAAGUCAAUAUAGGAAUACGUUUAAAAUGUAUUCACCUUCAGAGAGAGAUUUCCUGGACUGACAGAACUGCCAAUGGGUAUGAGUUAUUGCUUAGCAAAAGUUGCUGCAAAGGAUGCUGUACCCAUCACCUCUGUGAAGGGGUCUUAUGUGGAACAAGCUGCUAAGAAAGUUAUGGCCAACAGAAGUUCUGCCUUUGACUGGUGCUUUGGUAACUACCUGUGGGGAUAGUCUGCUGUUAUUCUAUUUUUCUUCCUUCUUUGUCAGAGAAAAUGGCAGUCUGGUGACAGUGUUCUUGAGAAUAGCAACUUCAUUCUACCAGGUUCUGCUGGUAGAGUAGAAGUGGAAAGUCCUGCCUGAGAAUGUGCAUUGUAGAAUCACUGCUCCCAAAGCUGGCAGCUCUGCCAAAACCCAGAACAUGAGUGCUUUGGGGAUGCCCUGGUAGAAACUUAGGUCAGUGCUGGCCUUGGGCCAUCCAGAGUAAGAUGUGAACUGCCUGGACUACGGCAUUACUGGGCAGAAAGAGUGUCUGAUCCCUUCAUGAUUUCAACUUCAGAUUUGCACACCUUAUAUUUACCUCUGAGUACUUUGUAGCACAGUUUGAUAUUUAUGCUUUGACUUUAAUUCAGAAAGAAUCUGGAGAGGAAUAAGAGAGAGGCUAAAAAUGUGCAAGACAAAAAAUACAUGUGUGAUUUCUGAAAUCUGACAGUGUUUAGGAGGGGAAAUAGAAGCUACACUGUUGAUUAUUUUACUUUAUUCUCCCAAUUGAAUGUGAUUUUUUUUGUUUUGUUAUUUUUUAUUUUUCUUUCUAUGCUAUGUAUGGAUGAUACCAGGCCAGUUCCUACCCAAAGGCUUGCUUAAGUGCUUUCAAUCUUACUUGCUUACCUUGCAUCUACAGUAACAAGGAUUCAGUUGUGAGUAAGCCUCAGCAUGUUACUUUAGUUCAAAUGAUUUCUAACUGGAAUAUCAGUGAAUCUUUACCUUCAGGUCAUCCGUGCUCUUUUGUAAGAAUGAAUUUCAGUAGCUUAAAAAUGCUCAGAGUUUGUGAAUGACAAUGAUAACUCACUGCUAUGAAACUUCCUGUAAGUGUGCACCCAUCUCCCUAAAUAAGUAGAAAUGGGUUUCAAAUAACAGGCUCUUCUGUUUAUAAGAGUGGUAAUUAGAAGUGCAUUAAGGAAACCCUCAUUUCAGAAGCAGGCGUAUUAUAUCUAUGAAGUUUCCUGCUUUUUUCCUUUUCUAUAUAUGUUUGAGGCUCCUGAUUGUCUAAUGAGAUUAGGGUAAAUUUGAAAUUAAUUGUAUCUUGUAUAUGUUUUUGAAAUAACAGGCAUAAAGCUACAUUAACUUGUUUCCAUUUGUGAAAGCAGCCUGUUUUCCUUGGUACGUAAGUAACUUCAUGGUUACUAAAGUCUUACUUAUACCCUUUGAAUUGUAUGAGCAAACCUUUCUCUAUUUUAUGUGUUCAUGAAGAUAUUGAAGAAAUAUCAGCAGCUUUGUAUGCAAGUAGAUGAGUGAAGUUGGCAUUUAAACUCUUGAAAAUUACAUAACAGCUACUAGUGUUAAGAAAUUAUAGAUAUGAUGAAGGAAGAGCUGUGAAUUUACAUUUAGAAAUUAACCCAGCUGGGUUUUGUGUGUGAGUGAAAGGUGAAGGAGAGAUAUUUUUAAAAGCUAUUAUUGUGCAUCAGCAAGGUGUGUGUCAUUAACUAAUUAUUUUGAGAAUGCCUUACUAAGACAGUGGUGGUAAUUAGUCUUUAGAUUUGUAGAAGGAAUGUGAUAUUCCUUUUAAUUGGGAAAGUUUUCCUGCCUCUGGGCACGCGCCCUGAAGUGGAGAGGGGGGGAGAGUAGAGGAGAAGGGAAAGUAGGAGGGGAGUGGAGGGAAGAGGUGAGGAAGGAAGGAGACUCAGUGGACUUUAAGAAUUGUCCAUCCUUUUCCAAAAUAGUCAGCAGUGCUACUGAAAAGCCUUCCUUCUGAAUGAUAUUAUCCUAUCCUAACAUUACUUUGAAGUUUUCUACCCCUAGAUGAAUUCUACAUUCAUUAAUGUCAGCAAGCCUUUUUUUUUUUCUGGACUAUUGAGGCCAUCUUUCCUGCAAAUGACCUUAACAGCUGCAAAGAGAAAAGAUAUGAUAACAUUACAUUAAAACACACACUAUGGUAGUUCUCUGAAAAUUUGGAGAUUUUGUUAGGUUUCUGGCUGAGUUUAUGAAUUUACUGUAUGCAAAGCUGCAAUGGAUUUUUCAGUUCCCUCCACUAGUUCCCCCAAGCCUCAGGUUAUGAGAGAAGAGCCAAAAAUGCAGGGCAAUGUUAAUUAUAGGAUAGCCAGAGGCAUUAUGUUCCCUCUUCCAAGCUGUUCUCAACAGUGACUUAUUGCCUCACUUCAGAGAACAAAUUAAGAUGCUCUGCAAUGAUGGAUCCCAAAAACUUGUUUGUCCUGAGAACCAAGGAAGAGAAAAAGGUGUGGCAAUCAGUGAAUGCACCAGAACACGUGAAGCUAGGGGGAUGUGAAAAUAUAAUGCUGAAAUACCCAGUCUAUCUUUCCUUCUCUGCCCUAACCUACAGGAGAAAUAAAAUCAGUUAUAUGUUUUGACUUUCUGUGAAAUAGAGGGAGCAUUAGACCUUCUGCAUUCAAGGGGGGAACCAUGGACAUAAGAAUAGCUGUUUAUCUUCAUUUGUGGUCUUGGAGAUGAAUAAGGAAUGAGUGACGAUGUGUAUUCACUACUGAGUACAUAACACAACUGUUCGAGAGAAGAUGCAGGUUUCCAAAAUCUACCAGCUGCCAUGCACUGGGCUAGUUUGGCAACGUCCAUCUUACCACUCGUGAAAGUAGGCCUUCGCAUAUUUGUGUAAUUCAGCAAAGGAUGUGGUCAAAUUAUUGCCUUUGUCUCUUUUUAUUCUGAAUUACCUCAAGAACUAAGGUCAAAUAAGGAAAAACUAUCCCACAGCAAAAGAGAGAAGAAGCAAAGACAUGCUGGUUAGCUUCUCACUGUCUGCUAAACUGCAUGAAGUCUACUUGAAAUCUCUGAUCUACACUAACAUACCAACUUAAAAAAAAUCCACAAAUGCUAUACCCUGCAACUAGAUAAGUAGGCAGCUGGGUUAAACUUGUAGAUAGUGAGUCAGGCUCCUCAGAUUCUGGGGAAGACUGAAGAUGAGAGGAAGCAGAGUAACUGCUGGCCCUUUGGUAUGGAACACAGGCAAAGUCAGGGGACAACAAUGGCAAAAGUUCCCUGGUCUAUGGGGUAUUUGGGACGUGAAUCCCCUUCCUGAGGGUGAAAGUGGUGCCUGAAAGAGUCAUGUACAGAGGUCAGUGCGUUAGGCUGGUGAGUGUCCAGGAGGAAACACUCCUGGAGGACAGCAAUACAAUAAGUUUAAGAAAAAAAAAAGGCCAGAACAUAAAUUCUUGCCACCCUUUAAAAUUUAACAAUAUUAAGCAUAAUCAUUUGGCAGUUCACUUAAUCUCAGUGGCAAAAAUAACUGGUUAUACGUUAUUAUUGAAGAUUAAAAUCUUAAAUCUUCCAUCAAGGCGGGGAGGGAGCAGGAGGUGCUAGAUAUGACUUUUGUCAUAUCAGGACCCUAAUGAAUUCUGCAAAAAAAGAAUUCUUAUGAAAUAUCCUUUCCAUUCAGCUAUUAUCUUUGGCUGUAGCAAUUACUCAUUUGCUCUAAACUGAAAUCCAACAACAUGAAGCACAGCUAUUCUCUUUCAAACUAAAAUCAGUAUUGGCAGGAUGACUGAAACUAUUUGCUUCCAUUAAAGGCAAAAUAUGUCCUAAGUGGUCACAAGUGUGCCAUAUUCCUCAGCUGUCAGUGCCUAAUUUGAAAUAUUUAAUUUAAAACAUUUUUAAAGCAGGCUGGUUGUCUCUGUUGCUCUGAGCUUACAUCUCCUACAUUCUAUUUCCAAUACCUGCCCCCAGAUCCAUUGGCUGCUUCUGAUGUGCUAAUGCAUUUAGAAAUGUGACUUUCCUCAUCUAUGCUAGACAAAAAGUCUAAUGCAAGAUCAUGUUGGUGAGUUCAUUCUAGAACACCAUCUUCUCUGGCCUUUUGUUAUGGGAGAAGCAACAGGAAGGAAACUGAGCUCCAACUACUGCUCCAGUAUGGUCAGCAAGAUGCACAGGAGGGAAAUUCUGUACCCAGCUUGUGGAAGGUAUGGCAUGCCUCUUUCAGAUCCUCCUCAGAAGGGCAUCUACAUCACAGUAGUGCGGCCAAAGAUGUGGUGGAGAAGCCAUGAGAGAGGAGUCCCAGAGAGAACCUCAUAAUCCAUAGAAUCAUAGAAUCAUUAACAUUGGAAAAGACCUCUACAGUAAUCUAGUCCAACCACCAAUCUGUCCCCACCAUGCCCACUAACCACCUCCCUAAGUGCCACAUCUACACCUUUUAUUAACACCUCCAGGGACUCCACCACUUCCCCAGGCAGCCUGUUCCAAUGCAUUAACACUCUUUUGGAGAAUAAUUUUUUCCUAAUAUUGAACCUGAACUUCCCCUGGCACAACUUAAAGCCAUUACUUCUUGUCCUAUCACUAACUACAUGGGAGAAGAGGCCAACCCCCAUCUUGCCACAGACUCCUUUCAGGCAGUUGUAGAGGGCAAUAAGGUCUCCCCUGAGCCUCCUCUUCUCCAGACCAAACAAUUCCAUUUCCCUCAGCUCACCCCAAGACCUGUGCUUCAGAUCCUGGAUUAAUCUUCUGUGCACUUGAAUAAAAAUGUAGUUUCUACUGAAAGACAAAACUUUUCAUGCAAAGAGAGGACAAUUCUGUUUAAAAACAACAGUAAGUACAUCAGAGACAUUGUAUUCAUCCUACAUUCUGAAAAAAAAAAUGCCAAUAAUAAAGCUCUAUCUAGAGAACUGUGGAAGGAAAAAAUUUUUUGAUAUCUUUUUUUUCUAAACAAUUAAAGCUGAAGCAUUCAGCAUUUUGGAUCCAGUGUAAAUCCUCACAUUCCUGGGCAAUAUAUAUACAUAUUUUCUGUCAGCAAAUCCUUAGUUUCCACAUUAGUUAAUGUUCCACCUGCUGUAUAAACCCAGAGAAGCUGUCUCUUGCAACUGUAGUGUUCCCUUCUGGCAGUCCUUUUUUCUUCCUUUUUCUUCUGUCAAAUAUGCAGAAAAUACCUUUGAAAAUGUACACAGUGUUCACAAUAAAUGGAAAUAACACAGAUGCACGCGUGUACAUUUAUGGAAGUGUAAUAAUUCUGAGAACAGUACAGAGAGCUCAGUUAACAGACUACAGUAAACGAUGCCAGGUUACCUAAACCUCAUAGUCCCAAAAGGAAGGAUUUUAGACAGCUUGCUGAUGUUCACAGUGUCAUGACGUAUGUCAGCACCAAGCCCACGUAACGGGUUUAAAUGAUCUAUUGACCUCCAACGGAUAUUAUGAACAUGGGUAUCAUCCUUCAUUGUUAAUAAAAAGGGAACCAACUGAGACAUUUUGAUUCUUGUUUGUCCUGCUUCACCGUUAUUCAGACCCUUCCAUAUUGGAAAAGCAUGAAGAGACAGCAAGCAGUUUCAAUUCAGUGUUUCUGAACUGGGGAUCCAUUGUGAUAGGAAAGAUUUCAAGUUAAAGUGAGAUGAAAGAUGUGGCCCAAAUGAGCAAAAGUGGUUGGUGGCAGGAAAUUCGCUGAUGCUAAUUUAUACUGCUUAGAAUAUUUUCUCCAAACUGCUAGGUGGGAGGGUAGCUAGUUGAUCCCUCCAGAAAGCCCAGGAAAAGCCCAUGCUGUUUCCAUAGCCUCUCUGUGAAGCCUGCUCCAGAGUUCUGCCAACCUCAAAGUAAAGAUUUUUCUCAUGUUCUUAUGGAACUUUCUAUGCUCCAGUCUGUGCCUGUUGCCCUUUGUCCUGUCACUGGGUACCACUGAAAAGAGCCUGGCUCUUUAACUCCCGCCCUUUAGAUAUUUAUAAGAGUUCUAAGAUUUCCUCUCACUCUUCUCCAGGCUGAACAACCUCUGGUCUUUUAGUCUUUCCUUAUAAAGGAGAUUCUCCAUGCCCGUAGCCACCUUUUAGGCUUUCCUCUGGACUUUUUCCAGUAGUUCCUCAUCUUUCUUGAACUGAGGAGCCCAGAACUGGACACAGUACUCCAAGUGAGGCCUCACCAGGGCAGAGCAGAGGGGGAGGAUCACCUCCCUAGAUCUGCUGGCUAUGCUCUUUCUAAUGCACCCCAAGAUACUGUUGGUCUUGUUGGCCAUAAGGGCACACUGCUGGCUCAUGACCAUCCUGCUGUCCACCAGAACACCCAGGUCCUUCUCCACAGAGCUCCUCUCCAGCAAGUCAGCCCCUAACCUGUACUGAUGCAUAUGGUUCUUCUUUCACAGGUGGAGGACUCUGCCCUUGCCCUUGUUGAACUUCAUCAGGUUUCUCUCCUCCCAGCUCUCCAGUCUGUCCAGAUCUUGCAGAAGGGCAGAGCAUCCUUCUGGUGUGUCAGCCAUUCCUCCCAGCUUUGUAUCAGUUUCACACUGAUAAAAGGGUCAAUGUACACUGGCUAUUCUUAGCCACUUUUUUCAUAAUUUGCAUUUAAAAAGCUAUCACAUGUCUUUUAAUUCCCUUGUUAUACACCUGUAAAUUCUCACUGUAUGUUUUGCUGAUAUUUAUCACCAAUGAAAGUUCAUUCACCACAGAUCCCUCAUUUAGGAAAGGAAUAUAUGGGGGUAUUGUCUGAGCUCUAUCUUUCUUA